GACGAACGCUGGCGGCGUGCUUAACACAUGCAAGUCGAACGGAAAGGCCCUGCGUUUGUGGCGUGCUCGAGUGGCGAACGGGUGAGUAACACGUGAGUAACUUCCCCUCGACUUUGGGAUAACUUCCGGAAUCUAGUGCCAAUUCCGGCUAGGAGCUCCUGCUGCGUGGUGGGGGUGGGAAAGUUUCGGCGGUUGGGGACGGACUCGCGGCUGUUCCGCGUGUUGGUGGGGCAGUGACAUCCCAAGGCUUUGACGGGUCGCCCGCCGGAGAGGGUGACCGGCCACAUUGGGACUGAGGAACGGCCCAGACUCCUACGGGGGGCAGCGGUGGGGAAGAGUGCACAAUGGGCGGAAGCCUGAUGCAGCGGCGCCGCGUGAUGGAUGACGGCCUUCGGGUUGUAAACCGCUUUCGGCAGGGACGAAGCGUAAGUGACGGUAGCUUGUAAAGAAGCACCGGCUAACUACGUG
rnacentral:rRNA from 1 species